UGCCAGCCGCCGCGGUAAUACGGAGGGGGCUAGCGUUGUUCGGAAUUACUGGGCGUAAAGCGUACGUAGGCGGAUUAGUAAGUAAGAUGUGAAAUCCCAGGGCUCAACCCUGGAACUGCAUUUUAAACUGCUAGUCUAGAGUUAUGGAGAGGUAAGUGGAAUUCCUAGUGUAGAGGUGAAAUUCGUAGAUAUUAGGAGGAACACCAGAGGCGAAGGCGACUUACUGGACAUAUACUGACGCUGAGGUACGAAAGUGUGGGUAGCAAACAGGAUUAGAUA
rnacentral:rRNA from 1 species